GUUGCUGUACUUUAAUAUAAAAGGACUGGCUUGCACCCGGCUAAUGGAGAGAGCUCUCCCAGCGACA
rnacentral:tRNA from 1 species